rnacentral:rRNA from 1 species
GACGAACGCUGGCGGCGUGCCUAAUACAUGCAAGUCGAGCGAAUCAAUAGGAGCUUGCUCCUGUUGAUUAGCGGCGGACGGGUGAGUAACACGUGGGCAACCUGCCUGUAAGACUGGGAUAACUUCGGGAAACCGGAGCUAAUACCGGAUAAUUCUUUUCCUCUCAUGAGGAAAAGCUGAAAGUCGGUUUCGGCUGACACUUACAGAUGGGCCCGCGGCGCAUUAGCUAGUUGGUGAGGUAACGGCUCACCAAGGCGACGAUGCGUAGCCGACCGGAGAGGGUGAUCGGCCACACUGGGACUGAGACACGGCCCAGACUCCUACGGGAGGCAGCAGUAGGGAAUCUUCCGCAAUGGACGAAAGUCUGACGGAGCAACGCCGCGUGAGCGAUGAAGGCCUUCGGGUCGUAAAGCUCUGUUGUUAGGGAAGAACAAGUAUCGGAGUAACUGCCGGUACCUUGACGGUACCUAACCAGAAAGCCACGGCUAACUACGUGCCAGCCGCCGCAGUAA